UUGACGGUGCUAUCAUAUUCUUGAAAACCUUCCAUGCUGUGUCCAUCUGAGCAUUCUUCUAUCUCUGCAUUUAUCCCUUAACAGUCACUUGCUUUGAGGUUCCAUUUUCCAUGUGGAUACCCAUGGCUGAAUCCAGUUUGAGAUUAUUACAUACCUUCUGUUCUAGCUGUUUCUGUUAUUUUUUUCUUUCUAUCCAUACAUUAUCACUUUGCUCCCCAAUAUUAUUGGUUCCUGUGCUCUUUACAAAGUUUCCUUGGAACUUUGAGCUUUGGAAGAUGCCAAGGAGAACAGGAAAUGCUGCUUCGACCAAAUCAAUUGAAUUGGUCAAAGGAGUUUGAUGAUCUGACGAGGUAGAUGGAAGAGGAAGAAGUUUGAACUACCUGAACUCGCCGGCGGUCGACCCUAUCCCGCCGGCCGCCGCCGACCCGCCGGCAGCCGCCGACAUCCUGCAGGCUGUCAACGGCGUCGGCAACAACCCGCAGGCUGUCAACGUCGUCGGCAACAACCCGCAGGCUGUCGACGUCGUCGGCAACAACCAGCAGGCUGUCAACGCCAAUGACCAGCCAUACGACGGCCAUGAAAUACAUGGUUUAACUAGACAAGGUGAAUUUCCUAUCCUGAAGUUAGAUUAUAAUUAGUCUUUGUUCCUGAAGCUGUGAUUCUGAUGCAAUAUAUUCUCUCUCCAUAUGUAGCUUUCAACAAGUUUACUGUCAGAUUUAAAGCUGUUAAGGAUUUAACACUGAAAGAACAUAUGUGUAUUCUGAGGAAUAGGCUUCACUUUGAUGUUAUGGAUGCCCCGAUGCUUGAUCUUAAAGGUAGAUACCUGAACUGUUAAACAUUUGCUUUGAAGGUCCAUUUAACUUGCGCAUUAAUUAUGUUUUGUAGAAGGAGUGAUUCUCUACCAUGUACCACCGGGGCUGAAUCUGAACCAUGAUGGGGACAGGGUGGUGAGUGAUGGUGGAGCAGAUGGAUACCAAUGGAAUCGAAAACGCAGUUACAGCAGGCUGGUAAUUUUGUAAUUGCAUGUGAUCGAUUUGACUUUUCAGUUUCCUUCUUCCUCACAUUUGCUUAUAUUUGGUACUACUGUUUUCAGUUUGGGCUGGAGAGGAUUCGUUAUACCAGUUAUCAAUGCCAGGCAGAUAUAGGGUGGACCAAAAAAGUCUACCAAACUAGGUAAUAUAUCUUCGAGCUACUACACUUUGUAUUUUAUAAGAAACAUAAAUUUAUUUCAUCUUAUAUAUGCAGCUCGGUUGCCAACUGGGUAGUAAUCCACUACCAGUUCUCUGGAGAUGUGCCAGCAGUCAAUGCCAUGGUUAGCUGUGUUACCAGAGUUGAGGAGUCAUUUAAUCAGUUUAGAGCACAAGAUAAUAACAUCUGUCGUCAAAUGGUGGAGGCGCUUCAGCCUACCUGAGAGAGCAGCAACCGCAGUUGCUGGUCGACUUCAGUAGCUGUCUUCCUUUUUUUGGUUGUGGAGUUAUCUGGUGAUGUAAACAUGGUUUCAGAUUCAGAUGGAUUUAGUUCCUAAUCGUGGUCAGUAGGUCCUGUAUGUUUCAAUGUUAACCUGGGUAUGGAUCUAGUAUAUGAAUGAUAUACAAGCAGUGAACUUGUUCUGUCUGGUGGUAAACCUGGGUAUGAAUCUGGUAUCUUUUGAAUGAUACAAGCAGUGAACUGUUAUGUCUGUUAUGUCUGGUGGUAAACUCAGUGUGAAGCUGUCGUGGCCCCAGCCAUACUAAGCUGCGGCAGUUGGAAGCUGUUCCAGGUUGCAAUUGUUCUCCACACCUCUGCUGCUUAACUGCAUUUGGCUAAUAUAUUUAAUUACUUAUUGGCAAAAUAUGAGUUAUUUCAGAAUUCAUGGAAUAAAAUUUUAAGACAAUAAGUACCUGGUAACAAGUCAAUGUUUUUUCAUGUUAGGGCCAAACUUGCAGCGGUAUGAAGUUUUUUUUUUCUGUUGUAUUAUGUCUCCAUGGAGUGACCAUUUUUUUUUCAUGUUUAGUCAUUACUAUUCUCAGCUACUUAGCUUGGGUUCAGGUUUUAUUUUAAGAUUUAUACAUUAUGUAUAUUGUUCUCUAAUUUUUAUUUUUUUUCCUGUUCCUUUUCCUUCCCUUCCAUUCAAUUAAUGGAAUGUUGAUACCUUGCAAUUGCACCAGCCCACUCAAUUGUACUUCAGAUAACAUCUUCUUUGAUUGUCCUCUUUUUCAUACUCUUGUUGACGGUGCUAUCAUAUUCUUGAAAACCUUCCAUGCUGUGUCCAUCUGAGCAUUCUUCUAUCUCUGCAUUUAUCCCUUAACAGUCACUUGCUUUGAGGUUCCAUUUUCCAUGUGGAUACCCAUGGCUGAAUCCAGUUUGAGAUUAUUACAUACCUUCUGUUCUAGCUGUUUCUGUUAUUUUUUUCUUUCUAUCCAUACAUUAUCACUUUGCUCCCCAAUAUUAUUGGUUCCUGUGCUCUUUACAAAGUUUCCUUGGAACUUUGAGCUUUGGAAGAUGCCAAGGAGAACAGGAAAUGCU
rnacentral:lncRNA from 1 species